CGGGUCUGUAAACGGCCCCAAGCUGUUUUCACGGAUCGCCGUGAGGAUAUGUGGCCGGACCCAAUGCACGGGUUGGCUCACGAACCGGGUCAGGCCUUGAUCGGAGCAGCCCUAAGUGGUUUCAGCCCGGUGCCGUUGGUGUUCUGGCCACUUAUCCACGCGGCGUUUUUUCAUGCAACAUGAGCCG
rnacentral:SRP_RNA from 1 species